rnacentral:rRNA from 1 species
AUGGCGUCGGAGGAAGCGUUGAAAGCGGCGGAGGACGCGAUGGCCGCUGCGGCGGAGGCCAGAGCGGAAGCAGAUGCGUUGAGGGAGGAGCUGGCGGCGCUGAAAGGCAAGAAGUCGGAAGGGGAGGUGAAGCAGGAGGCCUUGAUUCCAGCGGCGGCGGCGCUGCCGGUGAGGCCCCGCGGCCCCAUAAUCUACCCGCAGCUCACCCGCACAAAUUACACGUUGUGGGCGAUGCAGAUGCGGGUGGCGAUGCAGUCAGCACGAGUUUGGGAGGCGGUAAGCUCUGAAGAUGUCUCUUUCGAGAUGGACCGCGACGCGCUGCUAGCCAUCUACCAGGGCGUACCGGAGGACGUGCUGGCAUCACUCGCCGGCAAGGACACGGCAAAGUCAGCCUGGGAAGCCAUCAAGACUGUACGCGUCGGCCACGACCGCGUACGUGAGUCCAAUCUUCAGUCGCUAAGGAAGGCGUUUGAGGGAUUGGAGAUGGGCGACGACGAGCAGAUAGAAGCCUUCGCAACGUGUGUGAACAAGAUGGUUUCAUCCAUCCGCGCGCUCGGCGACGAGGUGAAGGAGCUCACGGUGGUCCAGAAAAUUCUUCAGGCGGCGCCGGCGCGGCUCACGCACCUUGUGACCGCGCUAGAGCAGUGCGUGGACUUGAAGACACUAACCAUGGAGGAUUUAAUUGGGCGCUUCAAGGCGUACGAGGAGCGCAUCCGGCAACGUUUCGGCGAUCCUGUUGAUGGUCAGCACCUAAUGCCGAGCAGGAAACAAUGGGAAGGCUACAUGGGGAAGAAGACCUGGGAUGGUCACGGAGCAAGUGGUGGUGUGAAGGGAGGCGCUGACCGUGGCAGCAGCCAUGGAAGAGGCAAGAACCAGCCAUCAAGCUCGAGAACUGAAUCAAAUCCGAAGAAAAAAUUCAAGUGCUACAACUGUGGUGUAAAGGGACAUUUUUCAAGAGAAUGUAAAGAACCCAAGAAGAAGAAGCAGGAGAAAUCCUUGAUGGCUAAGAAGCAGGAUGAAGAACCCGCACUGUUGUUGUCUGAAAGUUGUGUCAUGGCAUGCAAUGCAACAGUGGAACAUGGCAGAGUUUUCCUCAAUGAAGAGAAAGUGAAGCCAAGGCUUGGAACUGAUGUGAGGUAUGACACUAAGAUUUGGUACCUUGACACUGGAGCUAGUAAUCACAUGACAGGCUCUAGGGCGAUGUUCACUAGUCUUACAAAUCCAUAA